CACGUAGGGCGCGAGCGUUGUCCGGAAUUAUUGGGCGUAAAGAGCUCGUAGGCGGCCUGUUGCGUCCGCUGUGAAAGCCCGGGGCUUAACCCCGGGUCUGCAGUGGAUACGGGCAGGCUAGAGGUAGGUAGGGGAGAAUGGAAUUCCCGGUGUAGCGGUGAAAUGCGCAGAUAUCGGGAGGAACACCAAUGGCGAAGGCAGCACUCUGGGACGUGACUGACGCUGAGACGCGAAAGCGUGGGGAGCAAACAGG
rnacentral:rRNA from 1 species